GAGUUCAUGCCCUUCGGGGUAGAUCUCCCACCCUUGAAUAUUAUACCUUAGUUGCUUUGGCAGGCCGGGGCAACCCCCCGGGCUCAGGCCUGGGAGUGCCUGCCAGAGGACCUAAAACUCUUGUUUAAUCAUAUUGUCUGAGUACUAUAUAAUAGUUAAAACUUUCAACAACGGAUCUCUUGGUUCU
rnacentral:misc_RNA from 1 species